rnacentral:lncRNA from 1 species
AUGGUUAAAAUUGCCUUGUUCUCCCACCCCAGCACAGACUCUGUAGCUACAGGAACAUCACAGUCUGAUAUGCGUGCUGGGACCCAGUCACUCUCUGCAGAGAAGAUUCCCUGGCAGAUGGACUUGUUUUCCUGCAACGGGAGGGGAAGCAGCAAGAUCAAUUUAUACAGCUACAAAACAACAGCAAUCCAGCAUAGUGCUAGUGAUUCAUGGGAGGACUCAGUGCCUUCUGCACAUCUGGAUGAUGAAGAACUGUUCUGGGACACAAAAAGUUCAUUUUCAUGCAUCACUAAGGGCAUUCAUUCACUAGCAAACUGCAACCAAUUUGAAAUAAUGAGUUAGAGGUCAUGGACUUUCUGUUUUACUGUUAUUCCUUCAUUCCUUCCUUCCUUCAUUCCUUCCUUCCUUCCUUAUUUCUUUCCUUCCUGGAAAGCUGCUUUUAUUUCUGUACAAAUAGCCUCUGUGGCCUUCACAAGCAGGUAGGGAGAAAAUGGCUGUUCUUCCCAUGUUUGCAAGGAUGGGCUAAAUUAAGCAAAUUCUCUCUUUAUUUUUAACUUUCCAUCUGCAAAACAGCAGACGGAUCAAAGACAGUUUAUGGCCGUGCUGGACAGUUCUCCAUGGCAAUUGCUGCUCAGAGGCCUGAAUUGCUAUGAAAAGGACAACCUUUGAUCUCUUCAGCCCUUCCCACAUAUAACAGCUUCUGCUCUGUUUGAAGCAAAGAACCAGGCUCCCACUCCUGGAUUAACUAAAGAUUUUUGGAGAAAAAUCUCUAUAAAGGAGUUGAAGGGCCUGGCAGGGGAUAAGCAGAAUUAUGAAAUAUGAGAAUGGGUUAAACAGAGGAUGAAGUUACUAAAAAACACCUCCAAAAUAUGUAAUCAGUGACCUGGAUUCAAACUGUUUGUGUGCUCUCUCUUGCAGUCCUUCUGCUUCUGUUGUUAUUAUUUUUGGCCUGGGAGAAAUAGCUUUCUGAGUCCAUUUCACCUUGAUGGAUUAUGAUGCCUUUUUAAAUGUCAAUUGAUAAUAAUUGUGCCAUUAAAAAACAAAAAACAAAAAACAAAAAAAAACUAAUAAAUGCUAUCAGUUUAAACCUACA